rnacentral:rRNA from 1 species
UACGUAGGGUGCGAGCGUUAAUCGGAAUUACUGGGCGUAAAGCGUGCGCAGGCGGUUUUGUAAGCCAGGUGUGAAAUCCCCGGGCUCAACCUGGGAAUGGCAUUUGGGACUGCAAGGCUGGAGUGCGGCAGAGGAGACUGGAAUUCCUGGUGUAGCGGUGAAAUGCGCAGAUAUCAGGAGGAACACCGAUGGCGAAGGCAGGUCUCUGGGCCACUACUGACGCUGAGGCGCGAAAGCCAGGGGAGCGAACGGG